rnacentral:rRNA from 1 species
GCAGUCGAGCGCAGGAACUGACGGAACUCUUCGGAGGGAAGGCAGUGGAAUGAGCGGCGGACGGGUGAGUAACACGUAAGGAACCUGCCUCAAGGAUUGGGAUAACUCCGAGAAAUCGGAGCUAAUACCGGAUAGUUCAACGGACCGCAUGGUCCGCUGAUGAAAGGCGCUCCGGCGUCACCUUGAGAUGGCCUUGCGGUGCAUUAGCUAGUUGGUGGGGUAACGGCCCACCAAGGCGACGAUGCAUAGCCGACCUGAGAGGGUGAUCGGCCACACUGGGACUGAGACACGGCCCAGACUCCUACGGGAGGCAGCAGUAGGGAAUCUUCCACAAUGGACGAAAGUCUGAUGGAGCAACGCCGCGUGAGUGAUGAAGGUUUUCGGAUCGUAAAACUCUGUUGUAAGGGAAGAACACGUACGAGAGGAAAUGCUCGUACCUUGACGGUACCUUACGAGAAAGCCACGGCUAACUACGUGCCAGCAGCCGCGGUAAUACGUAGGUGGCAAGCGUUGUCCGGAAUUAUUGGGCGUAAAGCGCGCGCAGGCGGCCUUUUAAGUCUGAUGUGAAAGCCCCCGGCUCAACCGGGGAGGGCCAUUGGAAACUGGAAGGCUUGAGUACAGAAGAGAAGAGUGGAAUUCCACGUGUAGCGGUGAAAUGCGUAGAGAUGUGGAGGAACACCAGUGGCGAAGGGCGACUCUUUGGUCUGUAACUGACGCUGAGGCGCGAAAGCGUGGGGGAGCAAACAGGAUUAGAUACCCUGGUAGUCCACGCCGUAGACGAUGAGUGCUAGGUGUUGGGGGGGUUUC